AUGGUGUCCCACGCAGCUGGUUCGGCCGCACCUGCACGGUGCGGCCGAGGCAAGAGGGAACCCGGUGCGAGUCCGGGACUGCCCCGCAGCGGUGAGUGGGAACGAACGCCGUCAUCAAGCACUGGGCCUUGCCGGCCCGGGAAGCGACGGCCAGUAGGCGACCGGGGUGCCCCGGUCACGCCCGCGAGUCCGAAGACCUGCCAGCGCGCCGUACGCGUU
rnacentral:ncRNA from 1 species